UCAGGCGCGGUUUGAAAAGAAAAGAGGAACUUCGGAAGUUCCCUUGUGGUGUUUGUUGGUUUCUCCAGACCAAAAUAACUUCACAAUCUUCCCUAGAACACUUUUAGAGAAUGCAGGAAAACUGCAUCAGAAUGGACUAAAUCUGGCCCAGCAGACUUAGGACAUCACCAGGAUACACCGGUGUGUUUCACAACAGCAGAACUACAGCAGAAAAACUCAUGGAGGAGAAAGAACAGGAGCUGAGAAAAGCCGCCGGGCGAGGUGAGGAGGACAGAGUUAAAUAACUCCUGGCCGAGGGAGUCAAUGUCAAUGCUGCUGAGGACAGCG